CAUUCCUUCAACAUUUUCAUUCUAAUAUUUUUCAAAAAGUUUCUGAAUUUAAAUCCUCCCCCACAGAACAUGGUUUCAGUGUUGUGUUGACCUUCAUUUUUGCGCCGGUGCAGUGCAGCCGUAUCCUGCACCAAGGAUCCGACAUUGAGCUGCCCUUGAUCGCGAGUAACCUUCAGCGCAGGAGAGAGCUUUCGCCCUCGGAAUGCAAAAUGAAAAAUGUGAAAAUAGGAAAAUGGGAAAAUGAAAUGCGGAAGGGGGCUGCAAGGACAUGGGCAACGAGUCCUUGGCCAGGGUUAAUUGGACGGGGUUCCCAUAGCAAAGUAUAUCCAGCCGAAAUUUAUUGAUCUCAAACCAUAUGUUCUAAUUAAACGUUAAUGAAAAUACCAAGCAGUCAAAGUGAUGGCAAAUAAAUAAUAAUAAACUUGUAAGACUUUUGGAAAAUUUACUCAUAAGACACUAUACCGAUACUCCAUACAACAAAAGAAGAAGUGUUAAAUGUAAAGAUAAAAAUGUAAGCAUCGAUGUUUCCUGUCCUCUAAACAUUCAAUCCGUAAGCUUCCGAAUUUGCGGAUCCUAGACGGCUAUGAGAAUAUAUACAUACCCGUCAGUACUUCGUUGAAUCCCUCUGCCUAGCAUAUUGUUCAUAAAUAUAUAUGUAUCUUAAUUUCGUCUAAGUUUAAGAGAUGUGUGAAUCGAAUACAUACAAGAGCUGGUCGUGCUUUUAUGCAAUAUGGUGCAUAGUAUUUGGUGCGAUCGGCACAAGCUUAAAUCUUUAUUCUAUUAUUGACCCAUAUAGUCAAUAUAAUAUCUACUCUCUUGGAAGUUUUAUAGUUCCCUCAUCGUUAUACAAUAAAUACGAGCUUAUUUCAAUUAUGGCAACGAUAUUUACCAUUUCGUAUUUUAUUGCUGGGACUCUAUUGCUGAUUGGAAUGAAGCUGCAUUCUAAAUGGCUAUUCAAAGUGGGAAAAGUUA